UACGGGGGGAGCAAGCGUUGUUCGGAUUUACUGGGCGUAAAGGGCGCGUAGGCGGCCAGCACAAGUCAGUUGUGAAAUCUCCGAGCUUAACUCGGAAAGGUCAACUGAUACUGUGCGGCUAGGGUGCGGAAGGGGCAACUGGAAUUCUUGGUGUAGCGGUGAAAUGCGUAGAUAUCAAGAGGAACACCUGCGGCGAAGGCGGGUUGCUGGGCCGACACUGACGCUGAGGCGCGAAAGCCAGGGGAGCGAACGGG
rnacentral:rRNA from 1 species